rnacentral:lncRNA from 1 species
CUGGAGUUGCUUUUCAGAGGAGUAAUGUGAUAGUGGAAGUAAGUGCUUGCUAAAUGCUGAGCGCUGUACUUUGGGCUUUCCUUGCCUUAUCUAAUUCUCCUCUUACCCUCUAGUAAGCAUAGCUGUUCUCAUUUUAUUAAUGAGGAAGCUGAGGCUUGGAGUAACUUGGCCACUUAUCUGAAAUAACUCAGCUGCUAGGGGUCAGAACUGAUGUGUGACUGCAGUUCCCUGUGACAGACAGCCCAGUUCCUGGUCUCUGAGGCUUGGGAACUCCCCUGGCUUUCCCUCCAAGGCCCAUGUCACCAGCUGCUAUGGCUGCAGACCCUGACCUGCUACGUUCCAGAGUGGGAGACCACUUCAAAUGCCAUCACACAUUCCUGUCUGCCUCCAGGGGGCACUGCUGCCCCUGACUGAAAACCACCGCAGGAAGCUGGAUUUGGAAGAGAUUGUGGUUGGCUGGAGU